rnacentral:rRNA from 13 species
CACCGCGGUUAUACGAGAGGCCCAAGUUGACAGUUACCGGCGUAAAGAGUGGUUAAAGAAUAAAAAAUACUAAAGCCGAACACCCUCAAAGCAGUUAUACGCACCCGAAGGUUAGAAGCCCUAUUACGAAGGUAGCUUUAUCUCUCCUGAACCCACGAGAGCUAUGGUA